UUUUAAACCUGACAAUAGCGGCAGCCCCGAAUUUUUUAUGAGGGCUAUAGCGAAUGGCAGGACUUUCC
rnacentral:sRNA from 1 species